GAUGAACGCUGGCGGCGUGCCUAAUACAUGCAAGUCGAGCGAACGGACGAGAAGCUUGCUUCUCUGAUGUUAGCGGCGGACGGGUGAGUAACACGUGGAUAACCUACCUAUAAGACUGGGAUAACUUCGGGAAACCGGAUCUAAUACCGGAUAAUAUUUUGAACCGCAUGGUUCAAAAGUGAAAGACGGUCUUGCUGUCACUUAUAGAUGGAUCCGCGCUGCAUUAGCUAGUUGGUAAGGUAACGGCUUACCAAGGCAACGAUGCAUAUCCGACCUGAGAGGGUGAUCGGCCACACUGGAACUGAGACACGGUCCAGACUCCUACGGGAGGCAGCAGUAGGGAAUCUUCCGCAAUGGGCGAAAGCCUGACGGAGCAACGCCGCGAGAGUGAUGAACGUCUUCGGAUCAUAAAACUCUGUUAUUAGGGAAGAACAUAUGUGUAAAUAACUGUGCACAUCUUGACGGUACCUAAUCACAAAGCCCCGGGUAACUACGUGGCAACACCCGCGGUAAUACGUAGGUGGCAAGCGUUAUCCCGAAUUAUUGGGCGUAGCGCGCGUAGCGGUUUUUUAGUCUGAUGUGAAAGCCCACGGCUCAACCGUGGAGGGUCAUUGGAAACUGGAAAACUUGAGUGCAGAAGAGGAAAGUGGAAUUCCAUGUGUAGCGGUGAAAUGCGCAGAGAUAUGGAGGAACACCAGUGGCGAAGGCGACUUUCUGGUCUGUAACUGACGCUGAUGUGCGAAAGCGUGGGGAUCAAACAGGAUUAGAUACCCUGGUAGUCCACGCCGUAAACGAUGAGUGCUAAGUGUUAGGGGGUUUCCGCCCCUUAGUGCUGCAGCUAACGCAUUAAGCACUCCGCCUGGGGAGUACGACCGCAAGGUUGAAACUCAAAGGAAUUGACGGGGACCCGCACAAGCGGUGGAGCAUGUGGUUUAAUUCGAAGCAACGCGAAGAACCUUACCAAAUCUUGACAUCCUUUGACAACUCUAGAGAUAGAGCCUUCCCCUUCGGGGGACAAAGUGACAGGUGGUGCAUGGUUGUCGUCAGCUCGUGUCGUGAGAUGUUGGGUUAAGUCCCGCAACGAGCGCAACCCUUAAGCUUAGUUGCCAUCAUUAAGUUGGGCACUCUAAGUUGACUGCCGGUGACAAACCGGAGGAAGGUGGGGAUGACGUCAAAUCAUCAUGCCCCUUAUGAUUUGGGCUACACACGUGCUACAAUGGACAAUACAAAGGGCAGCGAAACCGCGAGGUCAAGCAAAUCCCAUAAAGUUGUUCUCAGUUCGGAUUGUAGUCUGCAACUCGACUACAUGAAGCUGGAAUCGCUAGUAAUCGUAGAUCAGCAUGCUACGGUGAAUACGUUCCCGGGUCU
rnacentral:rRNA from 1 species